rnacentral:lncRNA from 1 species
GUUGACAUAUUUCUAGUUAAUUAUUUUAUUAAUAAAGAGUGCAUAAGAACUGUGAACGAAGACUGCAUUUUUCUUUGAAGAUUAGAACUAAGCAAUAUGUUUAAUUGGAAAGCAAAGAUCUAAGAUAAAAAUCCAACAUAAGCAAAGUAACUUACAGAACCCUAUAGAAAUACACAAAAAAUCAUAAUAGUAGAUGAAGAAAUAGAAGUAUUGUGCCCUUAGAGCAACA